UGCAUGCACGCAUGGACACAUUCAGAA
rnacentral:piRNA from 1 species